UAUUUGACUAGUUGAGAACUAAUCACUGUUAUAUAAACAAUAUUGUGAAAAAUGACUUUUAUAUUGAAAAAAUAUAAAAGUAUAACUAGUUAAUCACUAAUAUAUAACUAGUUGACUAACAGAUUGAAGUAUAUUUAUAAAUUAAUAAAUAUUUAACUAGUUGUUGGAAUAAUCCCCUUUGAAAUGUCUUCUAUAGUUAUGAUUUGGUUGAUUCAUUAAGCUUGCUUCUCUAAGAUACAGGCGGGGGUUCAAGAGGGUAUUUAUAUGGGCACUCUAUCACUAAUAAAAAGAGGUUGGAACAAAAGGGAAAGGAACAGAGUAGGCAUAUGACCUCAUGAAACUUCCAUGCUUUAGUGUAGCAUUUGUCAUCAUUUGAAAAGGAAAAGCAGCGCCCUCACUGUGGCAUGUUGUGGGGAAAGAAGAUGGAAUGCAACACCAGGUAAUAUCAGGGGCAGAUGGGAUCAAGACAAAAGGAAGAAAUGAUAAGAAGAGGAAAAGCAAGGGAAAGCUCACUGAAUGAGGGGAAACAAAAAGAAGUUGAAAGAAGUACAGUACAUAGUCAGA
rnacentral:sRNA from 1 species